UACGAAGGGGGCUAGCGUUGCUCGGAAUUACUGGGCGUAAAGCGCACGUAGGCGGCUUUCUAAGUCGGGGGUGAAAUCCUGGAGCUCAACUCCAGAACUGCCUUCGAUACUGGAAAGCUCGAGUCCGGGAGAGGUGAGUGGAACUGCGAGUGUAGAGGUGAAAUUCGUAGAUAUUCGCAAGAACACCAGUGGCGAAGGCGGCUCACUGGCCCGGUACUGACGCUGAGGGACGAAGGCUCGGGUCACGAACAGG
rnacentral:rRNA from 1 species